GAAGGGGGUCGAUCAAGAUUGGCCCUUUAAAAACCUCGAGGUUUUUGUAGGUUUUUGAAAGCUCUCUCCAAUGGCGAAAUCGAUGUUCUCUUUUUGAAAGAAAGUCCAGCAUUGAUCGAUUCGUUUGCUGUGUAUUUUAUUACUCUCAUACUGGAUAUGGGAUCUGUUCGUGAACCCCUUCCGGCAUCAGCGCCACCGGCGGUGAAUUCUGUGCCGCCGUUUCUGAGCAAAACCUACGACAUGGUCGAUGACCCGUCGAACAACGAGGUGGUCUCGUGGAGCAGCGGGAACAACAGCUUCGUUGUCUGGAACGUGCCGGAGUUCGCCAAGGAGCUCCUCCCCAAGUAUUUCAAGCACAACAAUUUCUCCAGCUUCGUCCGACAGUUGAACACUUACGGUUUCAGAAAAGUUGAUCCAGAUCGCUGGGAAUUUGCAAAUGAGGGCUUUUUAAGAGGCCAAAAACAACUACUAAAGAGUAUAGUUAGGCGAAAGCCUGCUCAUGUGCACAAUCUACAACAACCGCACACUCAGAACUCAUGUGUUGAAGUUGGGAAAUUUGGACUUGAAGAAGAAGUGGAAAGACUUAAACGGGACAAGAACGUCCUGAUGCAAGAACUUGUAAGGUUAAGACAACAACAACAAGCUACCGAACAACAACUGCAAAAUGUGGGGCAGAAAGUGCAAACGAUGGAGCAGAGACAACAACAAAUGAUGUCAUUCCUGGCAAAGGCUGUGCAGAGUCCAGGUUUCUUAAAUCAGUUUGUGCAGCAGCAGAAUGAUGGCAACAGAUGCAUUGGUGGAAAGAACAAAAAGAGGAGACUUCCUGGAGAAGAUCAGGAGAACUCUAGUGCCCAUGGGACAAAUGGUCUUAACGGGCAGAUUGUUAAGUACCAACCGUCAAUGAACGAAGCGACAAAAGCUAUGCUCCAUCAGAUAUUGAAGAUGAGUAGCUCACCUAGGUGUGAACCGUUCACAAACAAUCCUGACAGCUUUCUUUUGGGUGAUAUCCCCACUCCAAAUGCUCUGGACAAUAUAAGCUCCUCGAAUAGGGUGUCUGGGGUGACCUUAGCCGAGGUUUCACCAAACCCUAGUGUUUCGUGCAUGUCUUCAGCAUCUAAUCCAACUACAAAUUUCCAAGAGCCUUGUAGAACAGAAAAAGUACCCGAGCCAAAUACACACCAGUCACCAGCUGACAUGGUUCAGCCAAAAUUAGCUCGGAGGCCAGAUGCUGCUGACGGGAGCCCAGAUUCUGAUGUAAUUGGAUGCGAGGUUGACAAUGGAGGGUCUAUGGAUCCAAUCACAGCUGUUUUGGAUGGAUCGAUGGAGUUAGAAGCGGAUGGAAUUUCUCCACAGGACAGCAUGGACGAGUUGCUGGAUGGGGUUCCAAAGCUGCCUGCAAUUCAUGAUUCCUUCUGGGAAGAGUUCUUUGCUGCGAGCCCAGUGGUUGGGGAUACAGAUGAGAUAUUUUUGGGAGGAAUGGAAAGAGACUUGGUAAUGGAACAAGAAUCACAAUCCAGCGAGAGGGAUGAUGGGUAUAAUAAUCAACACAUGGAGCAUCUAACUGAGCAGAUGGGACUUCUUAGGUCAGAAACCCAAGGGAAAUGACGUGGCAGUCAGUAAAGUAUUUACCUGUUUACAGGUAAAGGUGAUGAAUCUUUAAACCCUGGCUUUCUACCUUAACUGUGCAUUCAGAGAGCUAUCUGAAAUUUUGUGGAGGGGUAAUGUAUUGAAGCUUGAUUGUGUUGAUGUUGGUCUCUUGGGUGGUGGCAUAACACAAGCGGGUGAAAUUUUCUCUGGGACAAGGGGACCCGACGGAUGAGAGAGGUUUACUAGAGAGAGAGAGAGAGAGAGAGAGAGAGAGGAGCCUCUCCUUUUCUCUCCUCCCCUCUCCUCCGGUCAUCGAUGUCUAUGUCUAAUAAUAAUAAUAAGCAACUCUUUUACAUUUUGCCUUGAAAUGGUGUUGGUGACUCGAGAAAGGAUGAUAUGAUAGCACAAAAAACUUGAAAAAAAAAACAGAAAGGUUGUAUGUAACCCAAGGGGAUAGUGAGUUCCUAUGUGUUUCAACAGUGACAAACGAGUACAUUGUCGUUGUGUAAUGAUAAUCUUCUCUUUUGGCUGUA